GCCUGGGUGGCUCAGUCGGUUGAGCGUCCGACUUCAGUUCAGGUCAUGAUCUCACGGUCUGUGGGUUCAAGCCCCGCAUCAGGCU
rnacentral:tRNA from 1 species